AUUGAACGCUGGCGGCAGGCCUAACACAUGCAAGUCGAACGGUAGCACAGAGAGCUUGCUCUCGGGUGACGAGUGGCGGACGGGUGAGUAACGUCUGGGAAACUGCCCGAUGGAGGGGGAUAACUACUGGAAACGGUAGCUAAUACCGCAUAACGUCGCAAGACCAAAGUGGGGGACCUUCGGGCCUCACACCAUCGGAUGUGCCCAGAUGGGAUUAGCUAGUAGGUGGGGUAAUGGCUCACCUAGGCGACGAUCCCUAGCUGGUCUGAGAGGAUGACCAGCCACACUGGAACUGAGACACGGUCCAGACCCCUACGGGAGGCAGCAGUGGGGAAUAUUGCACAAUGGGCGCAAGCCUGAUGCAGCCAUGCCGCGUGUAUGAAGAAGGCCUUCGGGUUGUAAAGUACUUUCAGCGGGGAGGAAGGCGGUGAAGUUAAUAGCUUCACCGAUUGACGUUACCCGCAGGAGAAGCACCGGCUAACUCUGUGCCAGCCGCCGCCGUAA
rnacentral:rRNA from 1 species